CAUAGGUUAAUGAGGCGAACCGGGGGAACUGAAACAUCUAAGUACCCCGAGGAAAAGAAAUCAACCGAGAUUCCCCCAGUAGCGGCGAGCGAACGGGGAGGAGCCCAGAGCCUGAAUCAGUGUGUGUGUUAGUGGAAGCGUCUGGAAAGGCGCGCGAUACAGGGUGACAGCCCCGUACACAAAAAUGCACAUGCUGUGAGCUCGAUGAGUAGGGCGGGACACGUGGUAUCCUGUCUGAAUAUGGGGGGACCAUCCUCCAAGGCUAAAUACUCCUGACUGACCGAUAGUGAACCAGUACCGUGAGGGAAAGGCGAAAAGAACCCCGGCGAGGGGAGUGAAAAAGAACCUGAAACCGUGUACGUACAAGCAGUGGGAGCCUCUUAAUGGGGUGACUGCGUACCUUUUGUAUAAUGGGUCAGCGACUUAUAUUCUGUAGCAAGGUUAACCGAAUAGGGGAGCCGAAGGGAAACCGAGUCUUAACUGGGCGUUAAGUUGCAGGGUAUAGACCCGAAACCCGGUGAUCUAGCCAUGGGCAGGUUGAAGGUUGGGUAACACUAACUGGAGGACCGAACCGACUAAUGUUGAAAAAUUAGCGGAUGACUUGUGGCUGGGGGUGAAAGGCCAAUCAAACCGGGAGAUAGCUGGUUCUCCCCGAAAGCUAUUUAGGUAGCGCCUCGUGAAUUCAUCUCCGGGGGUAGAGCACUGUUUCGGCAAGGGGGUCAUCCCGACUUACCAACCCGAUGCAAACUGCGAAUACCGGAGAAUGUUAUCACGGGAGACACACGGCGGGUGCUAACGUCCGUCGUGAAGAGGGAAACAACCCAGACCGCCAGCUAAGGUCCCAAAGUCAUGGUUAAGUGGGAAACGAUGUGGGAAGGCCCAGACAGCCAGGAUGUUGGCUUAGAAGCAGCCAUCAUUUAAAGAAAGCGUAAUAGCUCACUGGUCGAGUCGGCCUGCGCGGAAGAUGUAACGGGGCUAAACCAUGCACCGAAGCUGCGGCAGCGACACUAUGUGUUGUUGGGUAGGGGAGCGUUCUGUAAGCCUGUGAAGGUGGCCUGUGAGGGUUGCUGGAGGUAUCAGAAGUGCGAAUGCUGACAUAAGUAACGAUAAAGCGGGUGAAAAGCCCGCUCGCCGGAAGACCAAGGGUUCCUGUCCAACGUUAAUCGGGGCAGGGUGAGUCGACCCCUAAGGCGAGGCCGAAAGGCGUAGUCGAUGGGAAACAGGUUAAUAUUCCUGUACUUGGUGUUACUGCGAAGGGGGGACGGAGAAGGCUAUGUUGGCCGGGCGACGGUUGUCCCGGUUUAAGCGUGUAGGCUGGUUUUCCAGGCAAAUCCGGAAAACCAAGGCUGAGGCGUGAUGACGAGGCACUACGGUGCUGAAGUGACAAAUGCCCUGCUUCCAGGAAAAGCCUCUAAGCAUCAGGUAACAUCAAAUCGUACCCCAAACCGACACAGGUGGUCAGGUAGAGAAUACCAAGGCGCUUGAGAGAACUCGGGUGAAGGAACUAGGCAAAAUGGUGCCGUAACUUCGGGAGAAGGCACGCUGAUAUGUAGGUGAAGCGACUUGCUCGUGGAGCUGAAAUCAGUCGAAGAUACCAGCUGGCUGCAACUGUUUAUUAAAAACACAGCACUGUGCAAACACGAAAGUGGACGUAUACGGUGUGACGCCUGCCCGGUGCCGGAAGGUUAAUUGAUGGGGUUAGCGGUAACGCGAAGCUCUUGAUCGAAGCCCCGGUAAACGGCGGCCGUAACUAUAACGGUCCUAAGGUAGCGAAAUUCCUUGUCGGGUAAGUUCCGACCUGCACGAAUGGCGUAAUGAUGGCCAGGCUGUCUCCACCCGAGACUCAGUGAAAUUGAACUCGCUGUGAAGAUGCAGUGUACCCGCGGCAAGACGGAAAGACCCCGUGAACCUUUACUAUAGCUUGACACUGAACAUUGAGCCUUGAUGUGUAGGAUAGGUGGGAGGCUUUGAAGUGUGGACGCCAGUCUGCAUGGAGCCGACCUUGAAAUACCACCCUUUAAUGUUUGAUGUUCUAACGUUGGCCCCUAAUCGGGGUUGCGGACAGUGUCUGGUGGGUAGUUUGACUGGGGCGGUCUCCUCCUAAAGAGUAACGGAGGAGCACGAAGGUUGGCUAAUCCUGGUCGGACAUCAGGAGGUUAGUGCAAUGGCAUAAGCCAGCUUGACUGCGAGCGUGACGGCGCGAGCAGGUGCGAAAGCAGGUCAUAGUGAUCCGGUGGUUCUGAAUGGAAGGGCCAUCGCUCAACGGAUAAAAGGUACUCCGGGGAUAACAGGCUGAUACCGCCCAAGAGUUCAUAUCGACGGCGGUGUUUGGCACCUCGAUGUCGGCUCAUCACAUCCUGGGGCUGAAGUAGGUCCCAAGGGUAUGGCUGUUCGCCAUUUAAAGUGGUACGCGAGCUGGGUUUAGAACGUCGUGAGACAGUUCGGUCCCUAUCUGCCGUGGGCGCUGGAGAACUGAGGGGGGCUGCUCCUAGUACGAGAGGACCGGAGUGGACGCAUCACUGGUGUUCGGGUUGUCAUGCCAAUGGCACUGCCCGGUAGCUAAAUGCGGAAGAGAUAAGUGCUGAAAGCAUCUAAGCACGAAACUUGCCCCGAGAUGAGUUCUCCCUGAGACUUAGAGUCUCC
rnacentral:rRNA from 1 species